ACAAACACAUCCGCGGAGAUAUCCUUCAAGCAAAUGAGCAACAUACAGGUUUCAAUGGAAUGAACCAGGAUUUAUUUACUUACAGGUAAAAAUAGCUCUAGCAUUGAGAUCCAACAAAAAUCAACUCAUUGUUCCCCAUUUCUCGGAAAACAAACACAUAAUUGACAGAUAGAGAAAUAGAAAUAGGAGGAAGGGUGUAGCUACGUACCUUGCUUGGCGACUCUGCACUAG
rnacentral:misc_RNA from 1 species